rnacentral:rRNA from 1 species
GCCUAACGGCUGAACCAGCAACUAGGAGGAAUGUAAAACACCUGUAAAAAGGAGUUUUCUAUAUUUGUAAAUCAAAAUAGAGUUAACGUAGUUAAGUAAAAUUCUGAAUAGAAAUUGAUAAUGACAGUUUCUAUGAAUAUGUCUUGACCAAUUCAUGUGCCAGCAGUCGCGGUAACACAUGUAAGACUGGUGUUAUUCAUCUUUAAUAGGUUUAUAGGGUACCUAGACUGUUCUUUAAGCCUAAAAUUGGUACUAAUGUAACUAGAGUUUGAUGUAAGAAGAAUAGAACGGUAGUGUAGAGAUAAAAUUCAGUAAUACUACUUAGAAACUGGUAAAAGCGAAGGCAAUCUUCUAUGUAAAAACUGACGUUGAGGGACGAAGGCUCGAUAAAAAAAAUAGGAUUAGAUACCCUAGUAUUGCGAGCAGACAAUGAUGAAUGUCAUAUGCAAGAAUAAAUUUUUUGUGUAUAAAUGAAAGUGUAAGCAUUCCACCUCAAGAGUAAUAUGGCAACAUAUAAACUGAAAUCAUUAGACCGUUUCUGAAACUCGUAGUGAAGUAUGUUGUUUAAUUAGAUAGCGCACAAAGAACCUUACCACAACUUGAAUAACUGCACAAUUCGUGCAGUUACAAGCGUUGCACGGCUGUCUUCAGUUAAUGUCGUGAGACUUUGGUUAGAUCCAUAAAAUUAACGUAUAACCCUUACUUUAUUUAUUAUAAAAUAGUUCGCCGCUAUAUUGGUAGUGAUAUAAGGGACCAAGACAAGUCAUCAUGACCUAAAUAUUGUGGGCUAUAGACGUGCCACAUAUGCCCCAACAAAAAGAUGCAAAA